ensembl:lncRNA
CCCCCCCACCCCCGCCUCCUGGGGUUGUUGAGAGGCAGAAAUAACUUAAGAUGACUUAUUCAAAGUGCCAGGCACACAGGGGGGUACUGCCCAAAAUAGUACCUGGAUAUGGGGGGGAGGUGCUACAGUAAUGGUUUCCCCAAGGUCGUCCACACCCGAAUCUCUGGAGCUUGUGUGUUAGGUCACAUGGCCGAGGGGCAUUACGGCUGCAGAUGGAACAAGAGUUGCCGGUCAGCUGACCUUAGAAAGGGAGCUCACCCCGGGUGAUCCGGAUGGCGGCUCAGCAGUGAAGGAUCUGUCUUCAAAGCAGGAAACACAGGUUGGAUGCCUGGGUUGGGAAGAUUCCCUUGGAGAAGGAAAUGGCAACCCACUCCAGUAUUCUUGCCUGGGAAAUCCCAUGGACAGAGAAACCAGGUGGGCCACAGUCCCUGCGGUCACAAAAGAGCUGGACGUGAUUUAGCAACUAAACAGCACCCUGCGUGGGCUCCGUGUAAUCACAGGAGUCCUUACAAGUGGACGAGGAAGGCAGGAAGGUCACGGUCAGGGUGAUCAAAUCUGAGAGAGACAGCCCAGGCCAUGGUGGACUUUGAAGAUGGAAGAUGGGGCCACAAGCCAAGGAAUGCGAGCAGCCUCUAAAAAUUUCUUUUUUUUCUUUUAAGAAAAAAAGAAAGGAAACAUUCUCCCCUGGUGCCUUCAGAAAGGAACACAGCUCUGUGGACACCCGGAGCUUGGCCCAGUGAGCCCCGUCUCAGAAUUCUGAUCUCUGGGACUGCAAGUGUGUGCUGUUUCGAGCCACGCUGUGCAUGGGGGUUUGGGACAGCCGCAGUAGGGGGCUCAGACAGGAGGUGUGGAGACACGAUGCUGGAGGGACCUGGGCUCCGGCUGAAGCCCCAGCCUCUCUGGGGCUGUAUCUCACCCUGCAUGGCCACCUGCUCCCCCACCCCUGGGAGAGGCCCACCUCUGGGCCCCCAUGGAAGACAGAAGGGGUCGUUCCUUGUCUGAGAGUCUAAGGAGGCGCCAGGUGAAGCUGCGCCUGCUUCACUUCUCCUGUUUGUCUUUUUGCCCCAGGCUCUUUUUUUUUUUUCUUCCCCUAGGGAAGCAGAGACUCAGCUUGGCCACCCCAGCUCCUGUGUUUGUAUUACUCCCAAUGACCUGGUCCCUGGAAGCUCCCCAUCCCCCAUUCAACAGGAAAGAUAGAUUCCCCCGAAGCAGCUGAGAGUCUGAAAACCCAGCUGCAGAGCCUGGUUACUCAGCACCUGUGUACAGAGGUGCUGGUGAGCUUUAUCAGAAGAGGCACCCCACGAGGACAGAGCGUAACCCGCAGCCUGGGGCCUCCCUGAGAACCCUUCCUGUUGGCUCCAAAUCUCCCCAAGAGCAGGGCAUGCGCUGCCUCUUGUAUGAUUCAGGAUUUGCUUUAUUGCUACCAGGAAAAGCACAUUUUGGAGCCAGCCACGCAGGAGGCUACACUGGUGUCUUAGCUUGAAACGAACAUCAAGGGGGCGGUUUCAAUCCUGAGGGCCGCUCAUGGGGUGGGGUGGGGAACUCCUGAUGGGCAGGGGUCCUCUUUCCUGUGGCCCCAAGAAUGACAAGCUGCCGACAGCUGUGUAGAAGGCUCGGGAAGAGCGGCAGUGCCUUCCAACUCCUCUGCAAUCUCCACGCCACCUCGGGUGGCAACGCCCAUGGUUACCAGCACUCCUGCGAAGUUGAGAGAUUUCCCUUUCAGCCUUGGACAAGCUAGCUGACCGCUCUGGGCCUCUCUUUCCCCCUCUAGUAACAGGGGACUGUUAACAGCCAUUCCGCCUCCUGUGGGUUGCAUAUGUUAAUGCCUUGGAAGCGUGCGGCACGGUGGAGGCUGGGAAGGGCUGGUUAGCUGGCGUGAUUGCUCAUCUAUUCAUCUCCUGUGCAUUGCAUUGUCUAUGGGAGCCCCUGGCCUCCGGGUUGGGGUGUACAAAUGAAUAAGAUGUGACUCUGCAGAAGGCUCACAGGUUAGCAGGAAAAAAGUCACACUCCAUCCCAUAGGGCACGGCCAGGGGAGGAAAGUGCUGCGAGCGUGCAGAGGAGAGAGCCCAAAACCUGCCCCGGAGGGGAGAACGGCGGAGGUUUACCCACGGCCUAGAAGGUUUACCCAAGGCCUCGAAGAAGCUUGCAGCAGAUGGAGAAGGAGGAAAGGCAUUCUCAGAAGAGGGGAUAGAAUGGAUGAGGAAUGGAAGCACGGACACGUGUGGGUGCCUGGGGGCUAGUAGUUGCCUUACUCACGAGAGGGGGCACACGAGGUCGUGCGGCUGGUGAACGUGCUGGGAAGAUGGGUCAGUUUCAUUUCAACGUGCACGUUGAUGACUUCCGAUGCCAGGCGCUUUGCAGAGCCCUGGGGAUGCAGAGAUGAAGACGCAGUCUCUGCUUUGGGGGUCACGUGUGCAGCAGAGACAGACAGGCAUUCAUUCAGUCAGUAACUAUGUACUAAGCGCUGCAUGCUGGGUACCAGGGGGUGCUGCAUGAGCAGAAUGGAGCCCAGCCCAGCCUUCGUGGAGCUCACAGCUCAGGGGGAAGGAGACCUCCGUCAGGAAUGUGCAUCUGCAGGGGAAGAGCCCUGGCUGAGGAACUCAGGGACCUGGAGAUGCGGGAGAAGGGAGGGGCCCUGGCUCAGGGCUGGAGUGUUCAGCCUCCUGGCCAGCGACCCGGGCUUAAAUCUCGGCUCUGUGACGUCCAGUGUCUUAUUCUCAGAGAAUUUCUGCUUUAGGGGGAUAUGCAAAGGCCCCGAGGUAGGAGCAUAACUCACACAGAAGGCAAGUCAGAGGGGCUGGAAGGAAGGAGGAUGGAAAGAAAGGCAAAGCUGAGGAUGGAAGGUGAAACGAGUGUUAAAAUGAGUUGGGAUAAGCUUUACCGCAGAAUGAUGGGUGAAAAGAGACGUUAACACCAACUGAGAAUUAUUCUGUCUGCUUCACAUGAAAUCAGAAGGAGGUUUUGCCAGGAUCAACCUUAGGAAGAGUUCAUCAGUUUAGUAUUAGUGUCAUCUAAUAAUCAUAUCAUCUAACACUUACGAUGCAUGCAGUGCACCAAUGCAGGCACGUAAUUCUCUCAAGAGCCCCUUGUACUAGGUAUUCUCACGGUCAGCAGCCCUCAGAUGAAGAAGGCUUCUGGAAUUAAACUUCUUGCCCAAUAGUACAAAGCUAAUAAGCAGUCAAGCCGAGGCAGUCUGGUUCCAGGGCCCUUGUUCUUAGCCGUCUGGCAGAGAGGAAACAUCUGCCAGAAGUGGGAGCCUGGGCAGAUUCUUGGCGCCCCAGCUGGAUGUAUUGUCCAUCUCCAGGGGGCGAGCCUUGGGAAAGAGCCCCAUGAUUCCCAAGGCCCCAUCCAAGGAGGUCUUGGGAUUACCGCAAUCCCCACCGAGGGCUCAGAGAGGAUCUCCUGUGUAGAAAGGCAGUUCUGGGUGUCCGUGCGCGGAUGGAAGGGACGCUGUACCUUUCGCAACGGCAGCGUCGUGGCCAUUUUAGGCUGGCAGGCUGAACCCUCGGCCGGCUUCUAGUGCCAAAUGAAGAAGUGAGAGAGGAGAGGGGUGGUGUGAGCGCGCCUAGACGCGUGUACAGAGGUCUGUGUGCCAGCCUGCGUGUGUGUAGGUAGAUGCCGGAGGGACAUCAGAGGACCUGAGCCAAAGCAAGCGCUAGGACGGUUCUGGCAACUCCCGCCCAACCUCAAGGGGGCUGUGGGCUCCACUGAUCUUGGCUUGGCGCGUAAGAGCUUGGGCCUACAAGUCAGCCCCGUCCUGCAUCCACCACUCACAGGGUAUGCCACUGUAAGUAUCAUUUGGCCCCUCCUGGUUUGGUGUUUUCAUCUAAAAAGACAGGAAGCCGCAUUUACCUCUUGGGACAGUUCUAAGGGUCAGGUGAGAGCACCCGGCCCAUCGUACGAAAGUGGGAAUGCGUUGUGGGUUUGGAGCAGAAGAGGGGGCACAGACUGACUUUCAGAUUCAUGAGCCCUUAGUCUUAUCAUAAUUGGCACACACCUGUAAGAGAGUAAAAGCUCGAUCUGAAAAAUAGGAGUCACCUUUGAUUCCCUUUGUUUUUGCGUAUUUCCCACCUAGCCCAUCUCAACAAGUCCUGUUCACUGUCCUUCCAAAAGAUCCCUCACACUGACCACUUUUCACCUUCUACGUAGGUCCCAGCUCUUGUCUGAGCCCUCUCUGUGUAAUGAGAUCAUGUCAGAUUGUCAGUCCUGGAUUCGUAGCUCUCUAGAGGAUUGUCUUCCACUUGGAGUAAAAUCUACCCUUCUCAACAUUAUCUGGCCUGGUCGUUUCACCAAACUUAUUAUUAUUAUUCUUUUUACCAAGUUUCCCCCUUCUUGUUCCAUUCUAGCCACUGUGGACUUUUGGUUUCCAUCCGACACCCCAACCUUGCUCCUGAUUCAGGAAAGCCAGAACUUCUUUUGUCUUUGCCAUAAGACGCCCUUUCCGCAGAACCUUGCUUGGCUCCCUCUGUUUCACUCAGAUUUUUGCUCAGUUCCUCAGAGGAGUCUUCCCUGAUGACCCAUGGCAAGGACUGUUUGAUACCUCCCGAGGUGAUAAAAUGCCUGGGUUUUAACUGGGCCUCAGAAUAAAGUUUCUGUUUCCCAGUCCCCCUGGCAGGUAGGUGUGGCCGUGUGGCUUAGUGCCGGCGGCUGGUGGAUAGGGAGGCACAGGGUGUGAGCAACUGCCAGGCGUUUCCUGAAGGGGAGGCGUGUGGCCCUCCUUCUCCCUCCCUCCCUCCCGCAGCCUGCGGUGUGGACGGGGUGGCGCCGCUACGCGGGCUUUGGAGGAGGGAGCAGAGCCAUGACGUGGAAGGUGUCUGGGUGCCUGGCUGACCUUGAGAAGCAGAGCCAUGGAACCAGCCCUGGUGACGAGUGAGAGAGAAGAAGCUCUUCCUUUGUUUAGGCCACUGACCUGUUGGACCGUGGGGAUGUGCAGCAUGUGAGCUCCGUGAGGUCAAGGGCCAGGCUGUAUGUCUUAUCCCCUGCUGUAUUCCCAGCUUCACAACGGCGCUCAGCACAGAGCUGGGCUAAACAAACACUUCUGAGCAGAUAGGAGAUAAGUCCCUACUAUUCGCUGACGCCUUGUUUGCAGUAUUGCAGGGGCUGUUGUUUUCUGCAGUCUGUGACAGAAGAGAUUGAAAGGGAGUGAACUAAAGGCGCUUGUUUGAAAUUCCAGAGCCUGGAAGCUGUAGAGCCCAGGUUUAAACUCAGAUCUGUUUUUCCACCAAAUAACCUCCUCUCUUCUCCCCAAAGCCAUUUUGAGGACGUGGCUUUCAUAGAAGAAAAAAAACCAGACUCUCACAACUCAACAAGAAGACAAAUAACCCAGUUACAAAUGGACAAAAGGUCCUAAUAGAUAUUUCACCAAAUAAGAUACACAAAUGGCCAAUAAACAUAUGAAAAGAUGCUCAGUGUCAUCAUUCUUCAGAGGAAGGCAAAUUAAAGCCAAAAUGCAAUGCCACUCCCCACUUUCCAGGAGACUGGGUACACUUUUUAGAAAAGCAGGCGAUGCCAAGGGCUGGUGAAGGUGCGGAGACACUGGAGUUCUCGUACACCGUUGGCGGGGUACAUGGCGGUGCAGCAACCUGGGCGAGUAAUUGGGCAGCGUCGUGACAGGUAACGCGCAAUUCCCCGUAUAACCUAGAAAUCCCAACCUCAGGGUUUCCGACCCAAAGACUCGUAUGUGGACACGGUGGCAGCACCAUUACUCAAAACAACCCCAGACUGAAAGCGACCCGAAUGGCCAUCACGUGGUUAACAGAUAAACACAGUACGGCGUGCCUGUGUGACGGCAUCCCUAUAGGUCAAUAAAAAGGGACAAAGCGCUGAUGCGGGCUGCAGCAGGGAUAAACCUCAAAAGCACUGUCUCAGUGAAGGGAGCCGAAUACAGAGGGCUGCAUGCUGUGAUUCUCUUCAUAUGGAAUGUUCCCAACAGAAAGUACUUUAGUGGUUGCCUGGGGCUGGGAGUGGGAAUGCCUGGUGCUGGCUAAUGGGUUUGUUUUUAGAACGAUGGAAAUGCUCAAACAUUAGACUGUGGUGGUUGCUGAACAACUCUAUAAAAUGUACUAAAAAUCAUUGAAUUCUGCCCUUAAAACAGGUGAAUUUCAGGAUAUGUCAAUAGCACUUUGAAUCAUUAUUUUUAGCCCAUCAUGUGUCCUCAAAGGGAAAUAGUUAAAUUCUUGGAAAGAGCCUACUGCUCUCUGAUAGACACGUGACAGAGAGGAGUGUUGAAGAGUCCAGCCUCGGGGCCGCUUUGCCACAUGCUUGGCAAGUCACUUAAACUCUCCAGGCCUCAGUGUUCUCAUCUGUAAAAUGGGGACAGUAAGCUCUUCCUCCUGGGGUACUUUUGGGGAAUUAAAGGGGGUCAUGAAAGGCUUAGCGGGUGCCUAGCACAGAGAUAUAAUCAUUGUACAUCUGAUCCUUUCUAGGGAUCAGACAAUGAAGCUUUGGCUUUACUGGUGAGCUAUGAUCUCUGGUGGGGGGAAUGGCAUUAACUAAUUUAUCCAGAAUCUCUUCAGCACCUGCUCUGGGCUAGAUCCUGCCUUGGGUACAGGAACCCAGGGUCCAGGGGCAUGACAGUCAUUUUCAAGGUGCUUAUGCUACUGAGAAUGUAGAAAAGAAUUGGGGGGUGGUGCUCCAAGCCCAUCAGGAAGGAGAGCUGUGAGCUUCAGGAUGGCUUCAAGAGGAGGGUGACGCUUGUGUGGAGCCUUGGAAGACGACCGGCAGUGGGGAGCUGGGGAGGGGAGCGUGAGUGACCCAGGCUGCGGCAGCAGCUGGUACAGCUCAGUGUAGCCCGCUUUACCCCCCAGGGAAUGGGAUGAAAGCACGGAAGAGAAUCUCAGGCCCCUGGGUUGCAGAGGACCUUUCAAGGUCAUCCUCUCCAAUCACCCUGCUUGCUGGGGCUUGGACUUCAAAGGCUCUUGGUAAAGGAAGCAGCUGCUCCGUAACUCAACAUCACUUUGAAGAUGAAGCUGUCGACAGCUACACUCCGUGACUCGCACAGAGAGUUGCAGUCAAGUUUCAGGAGCCCAAGGGUUUGGGGGAAGCACUCGUGGUGCUGGGACGGGAUCCAUGUGGGUGGCAAGUAAAGCAGGCAUCGACCCUGAGCCAAAGGCCUCUGAAGCAGGUGCCAGUGUCCCGGUCUGGGUGAUGGGGCAGCCACGGGCCCGGAAAUACCCACGGGAUACAGAGAGGGAGAAGCAUCAGCGUCCAUUGAACCCCUCACCGACUCUGUGCCAAGAUUUUGCAAUUUGUCUAUGUAGGUCCUUGGGGAGGGGGAAAUGCUCACCCUCAUUUGAACCGUGAGCACCCAGGAGCUCUGAAUUUCAAUGACUUGCCCAAGGUCACACAGCUAGGGAGGAGAAGGGAAGGGGUCAAGUUCAGUCUUGCCCUCGCCGCAGAGCUUGCCGCUUCUCAUUCCAUGCCUUCCUCAUCCUAAUCUCACCCAGCACCUGACAGUCAGGUCUCUGACAUACGAGGGCAAUGGACACCCCCAGGAACUCCACAUUUACGCUUUUUUUGAAAAGGACAGUUUUCUCGUCUCGAUCUGUUAUAUCUUAAAAUAUGAAAUGGAUAUAAGAACUGAAAUUGCAGCAAAAACGAGACAUGAAAUGAACACAAUUUGAAGGAAAGGACGAUGACCCCCUGCCACGUUUUCCCAGGUCGCUGGACUCUGGUUUCUGAAUAGCUGGUGCUGCCUUGUAUGUACCAUAUUGUGCCCUGUUCGUUCCUCUCAAAAUUGUGUCAUAAACAUUUCCUUUGCUGCUGCAAAUUCCCUG